rnacentral:rRNA from 1 species
CGGACGGGUGAGUAACGCGUGGGUAACCUGCCUCAUACAGGGGGAUAACGGUUAGAAAUGACUGCUAAUACCGCAUAAGCGCACAGUACCGCAUGGUACGGUGUGAAAAAACUCCGGUGGUAUGAGAUGGACCCGCGUCUGAUUAGCUGGUUGGUGAGGUAACGGCCCACCAAGGCGACGAUCAGUAGCCGACCUGAGAGGGUGACCGGCCACAUUGGGACUGAGACACGGCCCAG